rnacentral:ncRNA from 1 species
GCAGAUAGAGGCGCAGCUUUGAUAAGUAGCGUGGUAAUUCGUCAGGAACGACGCACGCAAAAGGUGAAGCUGCCGAAACAGGGUAAAAAGUUCCGAUAUUAUCCUGUUGGGUCGUAGGAAAAUAUCCUGCGGACUGUCACGGCAAGUGGAGAGCUAUCGU